CUCGUUCGUUUACUGAACCAACUUUGUGGGUUCCCUGUGCUAGAAAUGCCUCUGCCACGUGUUCCUGGAGGGGCCUGCUAGCUAGCCUCCUGCCCAAAGACCAUGGGCCCUGCAAAAACACUGUUAAAAGACUUUCUUUGUGCCAUUUCGCUAUACUGCUCGGGAACCGAACAGACGCCUGAACCUAGGACCACCCGUGUUCUUGUUAAGCCAUAUUGACACCUGGUGACGAUUCCAAUUCAUAUGAACGACCAUGAGGUGAGGGCCAUCUUGUUCGUAUGAACACAGGCAGCGGUGUUUUGGGAGUCUGUGUCCGAUUUUUAGUUCCAUGACCAAACACCACUGGACUUCCAUCAUCGCCUGCGUUCGGUUCUGUAUCCUAGAAGAACACUUCGGUAGAAUCAUUUGUCUGGAUGAGGGGAACAAGCUCCAUGUUCGGUAGUUCCUUUUUUUUU